rnacentral:rRNA from 1 species
CGUAACGGGAAGGUGGGGAUGACGUCAAAUCAUCAUGCCCCUUAUGACCUGGGCUACACACGUGCUACAAUGGUUGGUACAACGAGUUGCGAGUCGGUGACGGCGAGCUAAUCUCUUAAAGCCAAUCUCAGUUCGGAUUGUAGGCUGCAACUCGCCUACAUAAAGUCGGAAUCGCUAGUAAUCGCGGAUCAGCACGCCGCGGUGAAUACGUUCCCGGGCCUU